rnacentral:misc_RNA from 1 species
UGAAGUAAAAGUCUUAACAAUGUCUCCGUAGGUGAACCUGCGGAGGGAUCAUUACAGGGUUCGUGCCCUCACGGGUAGAUCUCCCACCCUGUGUUAUUAUACCUUUGUUGCUUUGGCGGGCCGCCCUCGGCUACCGGCCCCGGCUGGUACGCGCCCGCCAGAGGACCCCAAACUCUGAAUGUUAGUGUCGUCUGAGUACCAUACAAUAGUUAAAACUUUCAACAACGGAUCUCUUGGUUCUG